UACGAAGGGGGCUAGCGUUGUUCGGAUUUACUGGGCGUAAAGCGCACGUAGGCGGAUCUUUAAGUCAGGGGUGAAAUCCCGAGGCUCAACCUCGGAACUGCCUUUGAUACUGGGGAUCUCGAGUCCGGAAGAGGUUGGUGGAACUCCGAGUGUAGAGGUGAAAUUCGUAGAUAUUCGGAAGAACACCAGUGGCGAAGGCGGCCAACUGGUCCGGUACUGACGCUGAGGUGCGAAAGCGUGGGGAGCAAACAGG
rnacentral:rRNA from 1 species